rnacentral:tRNA from 1 species
UAUAGCUCAGUGACACAGUGCCUGCCUGGCAAGCACGAGGUCCUGAGUUCAAUUCCCAGUA